AUAAUAAGAAUUAUCGCUAUUUUGUGCAUUUUUCGUUUGAUCUUUUUUUGUGAUAAUUUUCAUAUCAUGCUUCUCGCUUGAGAUGGAAAAAUUAUCGCUUGAAACUAAGAAGGCCACGUGGCGUUGCUAACGAAAUUGACAUUGAAAUUGACAACGUCGUCAUAGGUAAAAUAGCGAUAAACAGAUUAUCAUUGGUCAUCUCAACUCGAUUGCUAUUCUCACUUUCGCUGUACCAGCUCAAGCGAGAAAAUUAAUUUCGUUGAGAUGAUCAACGAUAAUCUAUAAGUAUCUUACAAA
rnacentral:lncRNA from 1 species